GGUAAAUAAAAUUAUAGAUCAGGUUGAUGCAGUAGACACUGCUUAUCUAGAUUUCAGUAAGGCUUUUGACACUGUUGCAUCAAUAAACUGCAAUCUUUAAGUUUGGAUUCCAAUAUUGUUGAAUGGGUAAGGCAGUGGCUGAGUGACAGGCAACAGAGUGUUGUAGUUAAUGGAAUAUAUUCAAAGAUUGGACUUGUCACCGGUGGGGUACCUCAGGGAUCUGUACUUGGACCAUUCUCUUUAAUAUUUUUAUUAGUGAUAUUGCAGAAGGUCUUGAUGGUAAGGUAUGUCUUUUUGCUGAUUGUGACAGAACCAUCUGUCUGUCUAUUGUGGUGGAUUCGUCUAUUUCUGCCCUCUUUCGUGUAAAUGGCUGUUUCUAUAGCCCAGCCAUACGAAUGACUGUUUUCACCGAACAAAUCUACCGAACGGAUGGCCACCCAGGAUAAGAAGUGUGCUGCUGGUUAACCUCUUGAUCCCAAUUAGAACGUUGUGGUUAACCGCAGACCCUUCUCAAUUAAACCGAAUUCAGGGUGGCCGUCGUU